rnacentral:lncRNA from 10 species
AGUUACAGAAAGAACCCACUGCAGGGCGUCCAGUCACUUGCCCAGUGAAAAGACUGUAAUCAGACAACUUUAAUAAAGGGAGAGCAGGAGAGUGGUGACGAAUUUCCACAUUCCGAACAAGCUUGUCGAAAGAGGAGUGCAGGGAAGGAGCAAGAAUGAGGCACUGGAAGACGGCUGUAGGCGCAUGAUGUCACAAGUUAUUGGAAGAAAUCCCUCCAACCUAGGUUGGGACAGAUGAAGGCGGCGCUUAUUGGUGUUCACCAAAACACCAGCAUGGUGUACCAGCUUUGGCUAGAUGAUGCUCAGAACACCAGAGACUGGGUAAUUAAUAAAAAGAAGAAAUUGAUCUGGCCUACAGUUCUGGAGCCUUGGAAGUCCGAGAUCAAGGAGCUGCAUCUGAUAAAUACCUGGAGUGGGAUUGCUAGAUCACAUGGAAAACACAGAUCCUGGUGCCGAACAUGAGGACAGGGCAGGCCGAAGGAGAAAGUGGAAGGAGGGGAGCUUCUCUCUCAGCCUCAUCCUUCUGGGCCUGGAUGCUGGAGAGUCAUGAGGUGCUUCAGAGUACUCUGGGUGAGGAGGGAAAGAUGGUGCCCACCACAUGGAGGCCAGCCUAGGUCUUGUAUGAAACCUGUGAGGCCAGCAGGAGCCAGGCCGUGGCCUGCUGACUGCAUCUGCCAG